rnacentral:rRNA from 1 species
GGGAUAACACUUAGAAAUAGGUGCUAAUACCGCAUAAGCGCACAGCUUCGCAUGAAGCAGUGUGAAAAACUCCGGUGGUAUACGAUGGAUCCGCGUCUGAUUAGCUAGUUGGCGGGGUAAAGGCCCACCAAGGCGACGAUCAGUAGCCGGCCUGAGAGGGUGAACGGCCACAUUGGGACUGAGACACGGCCCAAACUCCUACGGGAGGCAGCAGUGGGGAAUAUUGCACAAUGGGGGAAACCCUGAUGCAGCGACGCCGCGUGAGUGAAGAAGUAUUUCGGUACGUAAAGCUCUAUCAGCAGGGAAGAAAAUGACGGUACCUGACUAAGAAGCCCCGGCUAACUACGUGCCAGCAGCCGCGGUAAUACGUAGGGGGCAAGCGUUAUCCGGAUUUACUGGGUGUAAAGGGAGCGUAGACGGCAGCGCAAGUCUGGAGUGAAAUCCCAUGGCUUAACCAUGGAACUGCUUUGGAAACUGUGCAGCUAGAGUGCAGGAGAGGUAGGCGGAAUUCCUAGUGUAGCGGUGAAAUGCGUAGAUAUUAGGAGGAACACCAGUGGCGAAGGCGGCUUACUGGACUGUAACUGACGUUGAGGCUCGAAAGCGUGGGGAGCAAACAGGAUUGGAUACCCUGGUAGUCCAC